GAGAAUGUAGCUCAGACAGGGAGAGCGCUUGGCGUCCUACUAAGCUGUCGUGGGUUCAAGUCCCACCAUUCUCA
rnacentral:tRNA from 1 species